UACGUAGGGGCUAGCGUUAUCCGGAAUUACUGGGCGUAAAGGGCAAGUAGGCGGUUGUUCAAGUUGGGCGUGACAGAUCUCGGCUUAACUGAGAAAGGUCGUCCAAUACUGAGCGACUGGAGGGCAGGAGAGGAAAGUGGAACUCCCGAUGUAGCGGUGGAAUGCUCAGAUAUCGGGAAGAACACCAGUGGCGAAGGCGGCUUUCUGGCCUGUACCUGACGCUGAGAGGCGAAAGCUAGGGGAGCAAACGGGAUUAGAUACCCGCGUAGUCCCU
rnacentral:rRNA from 1 species